AUACGUAGGGUGCAAGCGUUAAUCGGAAUUACUGGGCGUAAAGCGUGCGCAGGCGGUUUUGUAAGACAGUGGUGAAAUCCCCGGGCUCAACCUGGGAACUGCCAUUGUGACUGCAAGGCUGGAGUGCGGCAGAGGGGGAUGGAAUUCCGCGUGUAGCAGUGAAAUGCGUAGAUAUGCGGAGGAAAACCGAUGGCGAAGGCAAUCCCCUGGGCCUGCACUGACUCUCAUGCACGAAAGCGUGGGGAGCAAACAGGAUUAGAUACCCUGGUAGUCCACGCCCUAAACGAUGUCAACUGGUUGUUGGGGAUUUAUUUUCUCAGUAACGAAGCUAACGCGUGAAGUUGACCGCCUGGGGAGUACGGCCGCAAGGUUAAAACUCAAAUGAAUUGACGGGG
rnacentral:rRNA from 1 species